rnacentral:lncRNA from 1 species
AAAUUUCAGGCGCUCGAUAUGUCCUUUUUUAGCGAAGGUCAUGCCGGAUUUUUUUUUGGUUUUGCCAUCGAGUUAUAAUCUUUGAAUUUUGAACACAGGAGAUGUGUGAUGAUGAUGGGAUCCCGGAGUGCGGGUACUUCUACGAUGACCGUGGUGUGUGCGACAGGUUUCCUCACCUACAAAAUGAUAGGUUUUUCACCGUGAAGCUGGAAGAGACCUUCGAUGUUUGUACAGUACACAACGACAAGCAUUUCAUCGUAAUAAAUAUCAUCACUUGUGCUUCUUUUGUUCAACGUGUAAUUUAUGGAUUUUUUCAAUUCGACUAGUAAAUCACGUGUCAUGCUAGACCAUAUGUAUUGGAGAAGCUUGGUUUUGGUUUAGAUGACUUUGAGAAUGUGGAGACGAGGAGGGCUCACUUAAGAACUAAAUAUGGUUAUGAGUUCCUGGUUAAGUUCUACAAUGCGGUCGAUGGUUCCCAUUUCGUUUGCUCUAAUUGGGAAGCUCUCUGAAUGGCAUAUGGAUUUGAGGAGGGAAUGCGAAUAAGAUUUGAUAUUCGUCCCGAAGAUUAUGAUGAUGAUGAUAAUAUCAACAUUUGUGUGGAUGUGGAUAUGCCUCUAGUUUUACCUACAUGUGAGUUUGUCAAACUAAUUUGUUAACUUUAGUAAUUUAUGUUGUUAACUUAAAAAUAUUUGGUGUUCGUCCGUACUAAACUUAUUUAUUUAUAAUUUUCAGCUUAUUUCUUAUCUUCAAGAAAUACUCGGAAGGUAGUAGACAUCACAUACUACAGCUAUCACUCCAAGCUUAAUUGUGAGGAGAAAGGUUAUCUUGUCUCAUUCAUAGAAGAUGUUGAGGCCUUCAAAAUCAGUCACUCUAUCAACCCAAAUUAUACUAGAUACGUGCCACUAGUCCAUAAAUUGCUUGAUGGUAACUUCAUUGCCAAAAACUUGGUAAGAUUUUGUUAAUGAUGGUAACUUCAUUGCAUAUAUUAUUCUUAAGUAAACUACAUUGCUAACUAUAUAUGUUACUAUUUCAUUUUUGAACAGAGGCUCCCGAAGCAAGUUCUGCCUGACAUGCUAUGUACCGAAGGUGAUAUGCAUAUGGUUAGCUUACGACCAACUCCUUCGGAGGCUUACCAUACUUCAUACUCGAUUUAUUCAAAUGAUGGAAGGCUCAAAAUCAAAUAAUGGAGCAAGGUGAUGAAUGCGCACAUGCAAAUAAUUGGAUACAAAAUGAAUGUGUGCAAGCCACAAGUUGAAUAUAGGUUUAUGUCCAUUCUCCAUUAUGGUGAAGGACCGAUUUAUCUGUUUUAUGGUAUUUUAGCUAGGAGAGAGGAGUAGGUCCUAAGUAUUAAGAACAAUUAGUUAGUGUUGAUUAUAUAUGACUACAAUGUCUUAGAAUUGAUGGUGAUGCUGAGUAGGAGUAGUGAUUAUGAGUACUAUGAUGAUGAUGAUGAGGAUUUGUUAUUAUAACUAGUGUUGAAGUUGCUAUAUGAUGUCUCAUCAUGGACGAAAAUGAUGAUUAUGAGGAGUUAUAUGACAAUGAUAUAUUAUGAUGAUAAGUUGUUAAUGAUAUUAUGAUGAUGAUGAUAAGUUAUUAUGUCAUUGGGUGAAAGAACCGUGGAUUAGUUUCAAAUGGAUGGAUCGAAAGUGACCAUUGGUUACUUUGGAUCCAUGCACUUGAAACUAAUCCAAAGUUCUUUCACCUAGUGAUUUAAUAACUCAUUAUGAUGUUAAAACAAUCUCUAAAUUGCUACUGUAUGAAAAAUUGUAUACAGGUGUAUGAAUACGACCUAAAAAAUGGAACUAGGAAUAACAGUAGUAGCGAUUGUUCUCGAAAGCGCUACUAGUAAUUAGAAAUAGCGGUUGUUCGGGAAAGCACUACUACUAAGUAGAUAUAGCAGUAGCGCGUGCCAGCAGCCGCUACUGCUAAGCUUUAGCUGUAGCGCCUUAUCAGUUGCGCGCUUGCCCGCGCUACUGAUAGCCCAAAAACCAGCGCUACUGCUAGGCUUUUCCCUAGUAGUGUAUACAUCUGUAUCAUCCUCAAGCUCUUCUGGGGCAUUUAUCAGCUUUGCCCACUCAGCCACAGUUGAUUUUUACCCGGUACCCUCUGUUGUCCACACAAUUUUACCAUUAGGGUAAAGGUGUGUUGUGGAUUAGAACUGCAUGAUCAACUCAUCAUUCCAUUUUGUUAAUUUCUGGCCAACAAAUGCAUCAACUCUUGUUGAUCUAAAGCUCUCAUGGACUCUUGGGAAGUGAUCUUCGUUGCUGUCAAUGUACUCCCAGUCGACCCAUCUCAUGUCACUGACUAUUGGCAUCUUGUCAAGCAGCAUAGUAUCAUAGAAAUCUUGUUGUUCCUUUGUGUGGAACCUGUAGUCAACAAUUGUUCUCCUUCUAAUGGCAUAUGGGUAAUUCUUCCUCCACAGCCUGAGACCUGCAUCCUUCCUGAGCUUCUUGUUUUCAGCAACAGGGUGAGUGUCAUUGUGAUCAGGAAUCUUGGGCUUCAACUUUCUAAGAACUUGCCCUUCUUCUUCUUCCACUUCAAGAACUGGGGCCUUAUUCUUCUCAGCAGCUGGAAUGUUUCUGGUGGAUCUCUUGCGGGCUUGAGCAGUAGCCUUGGGGGAAGAUUUGGGCUUUGAAGGAGCAUCCACUGAUCUGAUUGCAUCCUCCAUCAGUUUCUGAGUCUUGGCAGGAGAUGCAUCUUGCUCUUCAUCUUCAGCCGUGUCUCUCAUCAUUAAAGAUCUCCCAAUGACUCUGGCCAUUGUCUUCUUGACCCUCUCCUUCCUCUUCUUGCCCUCACCAGCCUCUUUGAGUUCAAGAGUGAACACCAUAGUUUCUUGUGUUGAGGCUCUGGAUUUCGACAUGGGAACUCUUUUUGCAGGAGCUUUUGUCUUCAACCCUGGCUUGAGAUUAGCAACAGUGACAGUUUCCUUCUUGUCUCCUUUCCUCUUGGAAGGGACUUCCUCAUCAAUCACAAAAUCUUCAUCCUUAGAAUCAGAUGUCUUCUUAUUCCUCUGCCUAUUGCAGGUUUUGGCAGGUUGCUGGGAGUGCUUCUUCUUCCAUCAUCUUAACUGCCCUCAGAGGGACUAGUGCCCUCACUCAUCUGAACUUGUUCCUCAGACAUAUUCUAGCUGUCACUGUUGUCAUACAUGCUGCAAGCUAAAAGCUGACCCUGUGAAUAGAUAUAGAUGAGAUAGAGUGGAUGAGCAUCACAAAGUGUAGAGAUUUUGCAAAACAAUUGAUCCAAAAACUUAGUUUUAGUUUUCUAUUGAAGUCAUUUCAGAGCUACCGAUUUGCUGAACUCGGUGACACCGAAGCAAUGUUCAAUGUCUAAACUAGUGAACUCGGUGAGACCGAGGCAUAGUUUGGUGACACUGAUAUUGCUAGGGUUUCAUAAAGUUCUGAACUCGGUCACACCGAUUUGCGAGUUACGGUCAGACCAAAAAUCACAAUGCAAUAGCCUAGGCCAAAUCGGUGGGACCGAUUUCUACAACUCGGUCGGUCCGGAUGAGUUCGGCGGACACCUAACCCUAAAUUAUCGAAUCAAAACUAAUCUAAAGGAAGUUUUUGCUAGAUAGAAUAGUUUCAACCUUGGCAAGAAUGACGGCAUUAUCCUUGUGCUAAGAAUCGGAUUGAGAAAGCACAAAGGAUCGAACUCAUACCAUAACUUGGCGGUGAGUUCGCUACGGUGACAACGGUGGAGGAGAUCCCAUUGACGGCGGCGGAGACCAAUGGCAGGAGGACACUGGCGACGGAGGCGACAAUCCGGAGACCUCGAGUCGGCAGAGCUGGACAGCGCGGGUGAAGAGUUUCGGAGGAAUUUCCAAAAAUUCAACCCGUGAGUAUAUAUAUCCAGACCCUAUCGGUGAGACCGAGUGGAACAACUCGGUGGCACCAAGAUGCAGAAUCACAAGCGGUAACUGCAACUCGGUGAGACCGAAGUGUCCAAAUCGGUUGCACUGAGAUUGAAACCUAGAUCAACUUAAUGAACUCGGUGUGACCGAAAGGAAUGAAUCGGUCGGACCGAGAUGCAUCAAGAGGUUUUGGAAGUUUAAGUCUAUGACGAAUCAGUGACUCCGAGUGCUCCUCACCCAGAGGGUUCGAAUCUGACUUGAUCAAACUUUGUGAUGUAGCAUGAAUAGAGUUUGAGACGAGAAAAGCAUAGAUAGCUAGAGAGAGUACUUAGGCAUUCUUGUCCAUCCAUUUGGCAAAAUAAAAGACCAAACAAUCAAAACAACAAAUUGAUGUCCUCGAAUGGAGAAAACUAUGCAACCAACAUGCUCACACCAUAAGAUAGGAAAUGAAAUAUGUGGCAAAGCAUGCACAAACACUCUAGCAUCUAUCAAGCAAUUGAUGAUGACUAGGUCAUCUAUAUAUGCGCGACUUAGGAGUCAAAUGAGAACAUUUGAUCAUAGGUCAUACUCAUCGUUUAAGCACAAGUGGGGUUACCACUUUUACAUAAAGCAUUGUUGUGUUCACACCAUUAGAGUUGCUUUAGCUCAAUUCUUGGAGUAAAGCUCCCCCUAGAUGUGAUAUUCCUUUUCGAGGGAUGAACUAACCUUGGGUUUUGUCGAUGAUGACUUCAUGUAGGUGUUGAAGAUGUGGAUGCUCAAUGUUGAUGUAGAUCAUUUGGAGCAAUCCUUUGGAGUGAGUUGCACUUUCAAUACCUACAUGGGUUAGUCCCACAAGGAACAAGCAAGGAUAUCCAUAGACAUAGAGUGAAGUACACACACAUGAUAAUGUCCACGGAAGCAUUAGGUUACCUUGUCCCUUGACUUACUAUCAAGGGGGUUUGUGACUCCUCAAACUAGUGCAAGAUAUGGAAGUUGAUUGCACUUAUUCUUGCCAAUAUGAAUAUGAGUGAAGCAUGUUGGCGGAGUCACCCUCAAGAACUCUCUAGUUCUUAUUCUUUGAGAUCCACAUCAUAUUGAUGGGAAUCCUUGGGGUUGUAGUUGUACUUGAUGAAGUAGAACUUGAGGUGGACUUGGGAUCCCACUUUACCAAGGCCUUUGGAGCAUCUUCAAAUGCAUAAAUCUCCUCUUGAAGCUUGUCCUUGCCUUUUAGCUUGUGGUCUUGUGGUGGAAGAUCAUCUUGAGCUUGUGUCCCCUUGAAGGAAGUAGGAUCACACUUCUAUUGUUGAGGAACAAACUUUGUCUUGGGAUAUUGAUCUUCUUCCCACUCAACUCCAUUGGCAUUGAACUUUCGUUCAAAACCAACACCUUGAUUCUUCCAGUGCCUUCCUUGCUUGCAUACAAUUUCCUCAAAUUGCUUACUUCCGGCAAGGCUCUUGUACACACCUUUCCCUAUAAUCCCCUUCAAUAAGCUAUUUUCUUGCUCAAGUGUAACUUGGCUAAGAGAAUCAUUAGUGGGAUCAAGAGAACUACUAGAAGCAACAAUAUUGGAUUUAGCAUGAUUAUUGUUACUACUAGAAGAGGAAUCUUUUUUACUCUUGUUGCUAGAUUUUACUUGUGGCAUGUAAGUAGACAAGAGUAAACACUUGGCAAUGUAAGAAGAACUUUUCUUCUGAAGAUCAUCAUUGAUUGCUUUUAAGAAUCCAUGCUCUUGCUCUAAGUUGAGCUUUUCAAAGCGUAGCUUCUCAUGAGUCUUUAAAAGUUCUGGAUGAUCCUCUAAAGUAGUUUCAUGAGCUAGCUUAAGAGUGUUUAGUUAUUUAGUUAGACGCUCAAUCUCCUUCUUGUCAUUGUCAUUCAUUUCAUCUUGAUUAGCAUGAUUAAUAGCAAUUUCAUCAUGCUUUUCAUCACUAGCAUUAUCAACAAGCAAAUCAUCAUCACCUAGCAAAUCAUUUUCAUCACUAUUGAAAUCAAUAUACUUGGGGUGUGAUACCUUAGCGCCUUUAGCCAUGAAGCAUCUUCCAAUUUCUUCAUUUGGUGAGUCAAAUAUGUCGCAGGAGUUGGAUGACACCUUCAUCUUGAGUAUAUUCGAAGUUGGAGUGAUAACUUCUCUCGGAGUGGUUGUCGGAGUCGGAACCGGAUACCCAUUCACCAACAUGAGCUUGAUGUCUUCGUUUUGUGUAGCUCCUUGAUGACUUCUCCUUCCUUUCCAAAUCCUUGCUUCCGCGAGAGGAUCUUCGUUCAUAACGAUCAUCUCUACUCCUUCUCUCUCUUGGAGGUGAUUCUUCUCUUCUACUUCUUCUUUUACGUGAGUCUUUCCUUCUUUUGUAGGGAGCCGUAUACUCAUUGGAGUAGUGUCCGGGUCUUCCACAAUUGUAGCAAAUUCGCUCACGACUAGAAGAUCUUUUGUAAUGGUAGGAUCUUGACUUGGAGCUUCUCUCUUUGCUUCUACUCUUGUAGAAUCUGUUGAAGUUCUUCACCAUUAAGCUCAAUUCCUCAUUGAAGACUUGUUUUUCACUUGAUGUUGCAGGAGCACCACAUGAGGCUUUAUAUGCACCACUAGACUUGUUGUGAAGCUCUUCUUUAUCCUUGAGUGACAUCUCAUGAGCAACAAUUCUUCCAAUGACUUCCUUGGCUUGAGAUCUUUGUAAUUGGGCAUCAUUUGGAUCAAUGUGCACACGGUAUCAUAUUUUCCAUCCAAGGCUCUUAGGAUCUUCUUGAUGAUGAAUCUGUCAGUCAUCUCUUCACUUCCUAAGCCGGCAAUCUCAUUUGUGAUGAGAGCAAGCCUAAAGUACAUAUUAGCGACACCUUCACCAUCCUUCAUUUUGAACUUGUCAAGUUGACUUUGAAGCACAUCCAACUUGGAUUCCUUGACGGACUCGAUACCUUCGUGCAUAUCAAGCAAAGUAUCCCAAAUUUCCUUUGCAUUCUCAAGACGGAUGAUUUUGUUGAAUUCUUCGGGGCACAAUCCAUUGAAGAGGAUAUCGCAAGCUUGAGCGUUGUAUUACAACAUCUUCAACUCUUCCACAGUUGCUUCACGAUUUGGUUCUGUCCCAUCGAAGAAUUCACCUUGCAAACCAAUGCACACAAUAGCCCAAACGGCGGGGUUAUGUCCAAGAAUAUGCAUUUUCAUCUUAUGCUACCAACUAGCAAAAUUAGUACCAUCAAAGUAAGAACCUCUACGAUGGUAAUUUCCCUCGCUAGACGCCAUACUUUCCUAGGUUGUGAAACCAAAGCUAUGAUCACCAAAGCUAUGAAAAUUAAGGCAAAUGGAGACCAAAGCUCUGAUACCACUUGUAGAAUCGAAAGUAUGUCUGGAGGGGGGGGUGAUUAGACUACUUGACCAAAUAAAAAUCUAGCCUUUUCCAAAUUUUAAGUCUUGGCAGAUUUUAGCAACUUAGCACUAGUCAAGCAAACAACCUACACAUGCAAUUCUAAGAGUAUAGCAGCGGAAUGUAAAUCAUUGCAUAUGAAGGUAAAGGGAAGGAGUUUGGAGGGAGCAAACGCAAUGUAAACACGGAGAUUUUUGGCGUCGUUCCGAUAGGUGAUGCUAUCGUACAUCCACGUUGAUGGAGACUUCAACCUACGAAGGGUAACGGUUGCGCGAGUCCACGGAGGGCUUCACCCACGAAGGGUCUACAAAGAAGCAACAUUGUCUAUCCCACCAUGGCCAUCGCCCAUGAAGAACUUGCCUCACUAGGGUAGAUCUUCACAAAGUUGGCGAUCUCCUUGCCCUUACAAAAUCCUCGGUUCAACUCCACAAUCUUGACGGAGGCUCCCAAGUGACAGCUAACCAAUCUAGGAGACACCACCCUCCAAAAGGUAAUAGAUGGUGUGUUGAUGGUGAGCUCCUUGCUCUUAUGCUUCAAAUGAUAGUCUCCCCAACACUGAACUCUCUCUCAUAGAUUUGUCUAUGGUGGAAAGAUGAUUUGAGUGGAAAUCAACUCGGGGAAGGCUAGAGAUCAAGAUUCUUGUGGUUGGAUUGGAAUGUCUUGGUCUCAACACAUGAGUGGUAGUUCUCUCUUAGAAAAUGAGUAGUGGAAGUGUAGGCACGUUCUGAUGGUUCUCUCUCUGAUGAAGAAGGGGGUGGAGGGGUAUAUAUAGCCUCCACACAAAAUCUAUCUGUUACACACAUAUUCCCAAACUCGAUUGGACCGAAUAGUUAAACUCGGUCAGACUGACUUGAUUCAAAAUGUGAACAUUAGGCAUUUCGGUGGGACCGACAACAUCAACUCGGUGAGACAGAUGAGCUAGGGUUAGGGCAAAAUCUCAUCUUGGUGAGACCGAUCACAUGAACUCGGUGAUACCGGUUUCAGUAAUAAGUAAACAGAGACUUGGUCAGGCAAACUCGGUGGGACCGAUCGCUCAUCUCAGUUAGACCGAAAUGUUACGAAAGGGAAAUAGAUAGUUUGCAAUGCCAACCCGGUGGGACCGAUCGCUCACUUCGGUUAGACCGAAACGUUACGAAGGGAAACAGAGAGUUUGUAUUCCCAUCUCGGUGAGACCGAGAUCUCUAUCGAUAAGACCAAACUGAUUAGGGUUUGUGGAUAUGGCUUUGUCAAGUGAACUCGGUGGCGCGGAUAGAUCAAAUCGGGUUUGAAUUUAGGAUUAGGACAUAUGUGCAAAUGAGAAAGUGGUUGAGGGAUUUUGGAGCAUAUCACUAAGCAUUUUGAGCAAGUAAUCCAUUAAGCAACACCUCAUCCCCUUUUAAUAUUAUUGGCUUUUCCUAUGAACUUAAUGUGAUCUUGGAUCACUAAAAUGAAAAUGUAGAGUCUUGACCUUUUGCCAAUAUGUGUCCUUAGCAUUUUGAGGGGUUCACAUCUCUUGUCCAUGUCAUACCAAUCAUUAAAUUUUCUGAAAUAUUGAUCUUGAAAGAGUAUUAGUUCAAUGAGCUAUAUGUUGUUAUGAAUUACCAAAACCACCCGAGGAUUAGUUGCACUUUCCAUGCAGUAAUAAGAGGUCCUUACGCACAGUGGCGACGAUGGGCCGUGCGUCUGUUCCUAUGCAUAGGAAGAGAAGACAUACCCCCGCAUUAAAUGCCUAGGUACUAUUAAUUGUACUUAGGUGUCCUAGUACUAUUCUUUGUCACUGUGGUGACCCAUUCCAUUUUAAAAUGGUGAGUACAUAAUUGAUACACAAAGCAUACAAUAACGCAACGUAUACAGAAAUAACUAAAGUCAGAAUGUGGGUUUAUAAUGUACCCAGAAAUUCUAUUCCCACGCACUUGUUUUACAAAUACUUUACAUACUAUGAGAGGGGAACAACUACCUAGAACAAAACAUGGGAAUGGCCGUCACCGGAUUGAACUUUGUAAGAUUUUUGUAAAACUAUUGCGUAAAAAUAUCAUCGCUCUAAUGUAUCAACCUCCUAACCAUCUAACCAACGGUUGUUUCUCAAUUAUGAAUGUUGUUUAAUAGGGAACCUCUCCUUUUCCUGAAUAUCUAUCCUAGUAGUGGUUUCAAUUUGGACUGCAAGUGUGCGUCGUAGUGCAGAUUCGUGGUGUAUGAUGCAUAGACAAAAUUAGGUGAGGAGGAUGAUUGCUCCAUAAGUGAAUAAAGAAAAUGUUUUCAAAACGCUGAACCGCGACGCCAAGUUCGAUUUGAACCUUGAACUAUUUCAUUGUCCACAUUAAACCUAAAACUUCCUAAAAUCGGUCAACAACAACAAUAUACCCAAGUUUCAAUAGUAUUUUCUGUUGUUAACAGGCUUUGAGAUAGGUUGCCGCCCAUGUUGUUUUGUUGAAUUCGCAAGGUUCACAAUUCUCCAUAAACCCAAUUGUUUGCAAUAUUUUCUGGACUUCGAAAAUGGAAAAGCAACUUAAAAAACAUGCCAAGGUUUGGAGGGUGGUUUCUUUGUUGAAAGGUCCGAAAAAUAUGACAUAAUUUAUGGACGUGGGAAAUGCUAUAGAACCUUUCCAUAGUACUAUUCCUUGCAUCUAUGGCCUUUUCAUAUUUUUGGGGAGGCCAAAAAUACAACAAAACCAUGAGCGCACGUACAGUAGUGGAGAAUGGGGCCGGCUUGAUCUUACAAAACUCGGACGACAUAGCAGUAGAUGAUUAAAAAUCAAAUCUCAUUUGACAUGACAUGAUGUACUGUGCCAUAAAAAUGAGGCUUUGACUCCGUGCACUUAUUUCCCGUACAUCACGACAGAUUUUACCACCGAUAUAUUACCCUAACUCGUACUACAAUGCAUACGCAUACAACUUGGUCGAUCGUACCGACCCAACAUUACAGCGGGAAAGCAUACAAGGAGAGAAAACAAAACGCCACGAUUUUU